CCUACGGGGGGCAGCAGUGGGGAAUAUUGCACAAUGGGGGAAACCCUGAUGCAGCGACGCCGCGUGAAGGAAGAAGUAUUUCGGUAUGUAAACUUCUAUCAGCAGGGAAGAAAAUGACGGUACCUGUCUAGGAAGCCCCGGCUAACUACGUGCCAGCAGCCGCGGUAAUACGUAGGGGGCAAGCGUUAUUCGGAUUUACUGGGUGUAAAGGGAGCGUAGGCGGUUUAGCAAGGCAGAAGUGAAAGCCCGGGGCUCAACUCCGGGACUGCUUUUGAAACUGUUGAACUAGAGUGCAGGAGAGGGAUGUGGAAUGCCUGGUGUAGCGGUGAAAUGCGUAGAGAUUAGGAGGAACACCAGUGGCGAAGGCGGCUUACUGGACUGUAAAUGACGCUGAGGCUCGAAAGCGUGGGGAGCAAACAGGAUUAGAUACCCGUGUAGUC
rnacentral:rRNA from 1 species